GGGUGGUGUUCUUGGUGUUGACCCAAUCAGCACCCCUGCAAAAUUAAAACAUAUCACACCAGACCAGAAAAGAAGGUUUCUGUAGUUGUUGUUGGAGAAGUGGCCAUGUUCUGAGGCCAUGAGGAGAAGGGGCAGGAGUACCCCUUGGGGGCUAUGGUCCCCCCCAGCCCCUGGCUGAGGGGCUACAGGGACU